UACGAAGGGGGCUAGCGUUGCUCGGAAUCACUGGGCGUAAAGCGCACGUAGGCGGCUCUUUAAGUCGGGGGUGAAAUCCUGGAGCUCAACUCCAGAACUGCCUCCGAUACUGAGGAUCUUGGAGUCCGGGAGAGGUGAGUGGAACUCCGAGUGUAGAGGUGAAAUUCGUAGAUAUUCGGAAGAACACCAGUGGCGAAGGCGGCUCACUGGCCCGGUACUGACGCUGAGGUGCGAAAGCGUGGGGAGCAAACAGG
rnacentral:rRNA from 1 species